GCGCGCGGGGAGGGAGGGAACGGUGCCUAGUGCGGCACCGGAGCUCGCCAGCACGCAGGAGUGAGGUGAGGAGGACGGCGGCCAGGGCGCGGAGAGCUUGCCGGCGCUCCGCCACCGCCGCUACCUCCUUCCGCGUGCUGGCGAGCUCCGGCGCCGCACUAGGCACCGUUUCCUCCCUCCCCACGCGC
rfam:Oryza nivara chromosome 6, whole genome shotgun sequence.